UUUAGUUUCCUAGUUUAACCCCUAGUUAGUUGUAUAUAAACCUAAGAUUCUUGUAUAAUUGGAGAUAAGCAGUUUUUCAAUAUACAUUCAGUUUCCACAGUUUGGUUGAUAUAUUGCUCAAACCUUUAGAAACACCCCCCAUUAAGUUGAAGGAAAAGGAUGGGUAUGCACCAGUCAUUCUGAUGAAACCUCCCAUAAAGGAACCUUUAACCUUAGAAACCAACCCUAAAGUUUCCAUGGUUAUACCUCUUUUGCUGAUACUGAAGCCAAUGCCCACCUAUCAUAAUCCAGCUAUACUAACGACAUUGCUAGAGCUGGAAAAUUUCGCCACAAUGAGUGAGCCCUACUGCCAGUUAGAGUCUAUUGAUAAAGAUAUGGUAAGAAAUAAAACUAUUAAGUGGAUAGAUUCUGGUGUUAAGAGUGGGGUAGUUAUGUAACCCAAUGGACAAAGGUAUGGUCAAGCUAGACCAAAACUGGUGCUGCUUAGUAGGCAAUCCAAGUUUUACUUUAACUGAUAUGCUCAUUGUUUUCUUUUUUUUUUUUUCCUAUGACAGGUAUGUUUUUAAUGUUUUUUGUUUAAGUUGUUUUGUUUUUAAGGAUAAAAAGAAGCAAGGAGGAUGCCUCAUGCAACUAAGACUCGGCCUUAAAAAAAAUUUAGGGAGUAUUUCUUUUUUCCUUAUUUUGUUUUUUAUACAUGAUUCCAUUCGCCCGGGGGAGACGGGGAAGAAAACUUUUUGACUUAAAAUGAUUUUUGAAAUCUUAACCCAUCUUUGCUUUCAAACCAAAUUGACUUGCUAAAAAUGAUUAUGCUGUUCACUUAGUUGAAGUUACAUAUAUUCUCAAAAAAUGACUAAAGUAUGAUAUGGAGUUUUAGUUUGGACAUAGUGAAACUUGAAAUAAUUCUUAAGCAUAUCUUUACUUCGGAUAUGAUCUUUAUGCGUGCAUCUCUAUUCUCUUUAUAUGAAAUGCUAUAAUUUUUGUGAAGGUUUUUAAGAUAUGGAUCUUCAUCAAAUUUAAAAUUUGAAUAAGUGCUCUAGAAUUCACCUACUCAACCUUUGAGGCGAAAUCCUAGAUUGUAUUUGACUCAAGAAAUGAUUUAGGCAGUUCUUUGGACCAUUUGAACCUUUGUCAAGCCUACCCUAUGAUGAUGCAUCCCUAGUACCUUUAUUUUGAGCCUUUAUACUAAUCUUUUUCUUUGUUUAUUUUAGCCACAUUACAAGCCCAAUAAGCCUUUUCUUUGAUUAUUAUCCUUUCUUUUGUUGUCUUAACCCAUUGUGCUUACUUGUGUAUUAUGAACAUUUUCUUGAAUUUGAGAGGAAGAGAGGUGCAAGGAAUGAAAUCAAAGAAAAAAAAGAAAACGGCAAAAGCAAAGGCAAAGCCUAAUAAAAGCAAAAUAUGGCUAAGUAUUAUUUUCAAAAAAAAAAAAGAGAAAGAAAACAGGAAGAAAAAGAGAAAAAAAUGCCAUGAAUAAAACAAAAGAAUAAAAUGAUGCCUCACAAGUCAAAGUAUCAAAAAGAGCUCCCACUUGUUCAAAGUCCAAGAAGUUCAAAGAAAGUAAGCUUAGGGUUUAUGAGCCUAAAAUUUCCUUUCUCCUACCUUAACCCAAGCUUUACAUUACAAGCCUAAAAGACUUUUUGAUCUUGAAUCAGGUAUAAUGCACAUGGGACAUGAAAGCCAUGCAAUUCAUGUAAGAUGGUGCAAUAUUCGGCCAAGAGCAUGAACCAUGCAAUAUUCGGCCACAUAUUGGAGUUUAUAGCCAGACCACUUAGCCAAGAAAAGAUCAUGAUGAAUUGGGCUAAAGAAGAGUAGUAGCAGCAAGAAGACUCUUUGUUUAUCUUAAAAAAGUUUUACUCCAAGAAGAACACUACAAAGGAGGAUAAGGAUAGAGUUAUGAUACAACAAGGAUUACUACAUCUAUUUGGCCAAGAAGCAAUCUUAUGGAGCAAGAACUCUUUGAUUAUCUUAAAAGAGUUUUUAGGCAAGAUAAAUACUUUUACAAGAGACAAAGAUAAGAGUUCUACUCAAGAAAGAUUCUUGAUGAUUUAUCUCAAGAGUUUUAACCUAAUAUAACUACUUUAAGAAGAUAAGCUCUUGGAUAUUCACUGAAGCCAAAACUCCAUUUGAAUUCAAGGUAAUGAUGACAUUGCAAGACACAUCAAUAUGAAGGACCAAUCAUGGAAUCCCAUUCAGCCACGCAAAGACUCCUAUGUUCAGCCAACUCCUUUAAAGAUCAAGAUAUAAUUAUCUCGUAGAGUUUAAAUAGGAAAAGGACUUUGUAAUAGAGCAUCAAUAGAGAUUCAUCAAUAAUUAGAUGAAUAUCUGUUCAUUGAAGAAAAAAGCAAGAGCCUUAAGUCAAUAAAGACUGAGAAGGUUGACUAAAGAACAAAUUAACAAAUUUUUUUAUUAAAUAUUAUUUAUUAAAUAUUAAAUUUUUAUUUUUAUUAAAUAUUAAAUUAAGGCUCCAUUGGAGAAUUCAGACCUAAGCACUAAUCGAGAAGCGAUGGGGACGACGGAACCCGUGAAUGCGGAGGAUUCUAUUGAAAACGAAUCCUAAUGAUUUAUCGGGUAGGAUGGCGGAACAAACCAGAGACCACUUCAUUUCUUUUUAUUCUGUUCUGAUUCUGAGAGGUCAUGAGUUAACCCGACAACUGAAAUA